UACGGGGGGGGCAAGCGUUGUUCGGAAUUACUGGGCGUAAAGGGUUCGUAGGUGGCUCGCUAAGUCAGACGUGAAAUCCCUCAGCUUAACUGGGGAACUGCGUCUGAGACUGGCGAGCUUGAGUGCAGGAGAGGAACGCGGAAUUCCAGGUGUAGCGGUGAAAUGCGUAGAUAUCUGGAGGAACACCGGUGGCGAAGGCGGCGUUCUGGACUGCAACUGACACUGAGGAACGAAAGCCAGGGUAGCAAACGGG
rnacentral:rRNA from 1 species